UGGGGAAUUUUCCGCAAUGGGCGAAAGCCUGACGGAGCAAUACCGCGUGAGGGAUGACGGCCUAUGGGUUGUAAACCUCUUUUCUCAGGGAGGAAUCAAUGACGUGUACCUGAAGAAUAAGCAUCGGCUAACUCCGUGCCAGCAGCCGCGGUAAGACGGAGGAUGCAAGUGUUAUCCGGAAUCACUGGGCGUAAAGCGUCUGUAGGUGGUCAAAUAAGUCAACUGUUAAAUCUUGAGGCCCAACUUCAAAAUCGCAGUCGAAACUAUUAGACUAGAGUAUAGUAGGGGUAAAGGGAAUUUCCAGUGGAGCGGUGAAAUGCGUAGAGAUUGGAAAGAACACCGAUGGCGAAGGCACUUUACUGGGCUAUUACUAACACUGAGAGACGAAAGCUAGGGUAGCAAAUGGGAUUAGAUACCCCCGUAGUCC
rnacentral:rRNA from 1 species